GAUGAAGAACGUAGCGAAAUGCGAUAAGUAGUGUGAAUUGCAGAAUUCAGUGAAUCAUCGAAUCUUUGAACGCACAUUGCGCCCCUUGGUAUUCCAUGGGGCAUGCCUGUUCGAGCGUCAUUUGUACCUUCAAGCUUUGCUUGGUGUUGGGUGUUUGUCUCGCCUUUGCGUGUAGACUCGCCUUAAAAUAAUUGGCAGCCGGCGUAUUGAUUUCGGAGCGCAGUACAUCUCGCGCUUUGCACUCAUAACGACAGCGUCCAAAAGUACAUUUUACACUCUUGACCUCGGAUCAGGUAGGGAUACCCGCUGAACUUAAGUAUAUCAAUAAGCGGAGGA
rnacentral:misc_RNA from 1 species